rnacentral:lncRNA from 1 species
AAAGUUGGGUUGUAGUUGAUACAUCCAUGUGUUCCUAUUAAAGAUAUGUUUGGGAACCCCCCACAUCUUGCUAUGACAUACUUUGUUUCCCAUUCUCUCUUGUACCAAUGGAUUGAAUUGGCAGAGAGAGAUGCGAACUUUUGGGGCCAUGACAGGUUGCUUUGAGCAAAGGGUCCACGUUUAGGCAUGAGAGCCCUCAUCCAUAGGUGUAAUAGGGGAGUACAACAUA